rnacentral:misc_RNA from 1 species
UCCCCGUUACCGAGGCAGUCUAAAUAGAAAAAUUCAACUAUUUACAAGGGUUGCGCUCGUUAAUGGACUUAACCAAACAUCUCACGACACGAGCUGACGACGGCCAUGCAUCACCUGUCACCUGAUUCCCGAAGGCACUCUCUCCUUUCGGAGAAAUUCCAGGGAUGUCAAGCCUUGGUAAGGUUCUUCGCUUAUCAUCGAAUUAAACAACACACUCCACCGCUUGUGCGGGUCCCCGUCAAUUCCUUUAUGUUUUAAGCUUGCGCUCGUACUCCACAGGCGGGAUGCUUAACGCGUUAGCUGCGGCACCGACGGAGACCCGCCGGCACGUAGUGUCCAUCGUUUAGGGCGUGGACUAC